AUGCAAUUAUCAGAUGAAUAAUUAUAUUAUCACAUCUAAUACGAGUACUACAGUCUACAGUGUGUUUAUAAAAAGCCGGGUGCUCGGUACACGAUAUGCUCUACUAGUACCGUAAUCGAUUAAUGUAUCGGAAUAGAAAUCGAAAUACAGCGUACAACUGUUGUAAAAUGAGAUAAUUUACGAUACCGUCGGACUAUACGUAGAGCCGCGUCGAGUUGGAGUCCCAGACGACCAAUUAAAGAUUUCGCGCGCGUUUAUUUUCGCAUCUCCGAAUAAAAAAUGAAGCGAGUACGCGAUAUUAGGCUCGGUUACGCGAAAUUGAUUAAUCUAUUAAACGACUUAUCAACUGUGGCGAAGUAAUUCGGCGAAAUUUCACUCAUUCGGAUAGGUAGAUGAAAUGAUUCUACUGCUGGUGAGAAUUUGCUAUACAUAAGAUUCGACGCGAUGGCACAGCAUGCGAACCAGUUCACAUUUUGACUCGCUUUAGGGAUGAUUUUUGUUUGAAAAUUUGGUCAAGUUUCUACUUCUAAACAUAAUAAUGAAUAAUGAUGGUUUAUGCUCAAAGACCCGAAUAACUCACCAUAAUAAGGUGCCCGUUCCCAAAACGCAAAUACUCGGCCGCAAAUAUAAACUUUUCGGAUUAGACUUGGUCGACAGUGAUAACUCUGAAUUGAUGAUAAAUUUUUACGUUUUUUUGUUUAGCAAUAUUUACAAAAUAAUACUACAAUGCUGAGGAUUCUCGCGGUAUUGGCGGUAACAUUUGGUGUAAUAUACUAUCCUUUUUCCGAUAUAGUAUCAAAAUUUCCAUCUGAAGUGUUCGAUUAUUUUCGGAGUUUGGUUGGCAGAGGAGUACCUCCCAGUAGAUACAAAUUCAUGUUCGCUCGGCAGUGGCCCAUAUCGGUGUGUAUUUUGGAAGUUAUCCAAAAACAUGGAAGGACUUCCCAAGCCUGUAAAUUUCCGCAACAAAUUCAUACAUGGACAAUUCACGGAAUUUGGCCACACCCAAGAGAUAGGAUUAACCCAUUACCAUCAGACUGUGGAGGAGCGGAACUGCAGGAAUCUGAUAUUCAAGACAUUAUCGGUGAACUGAACUUACGAUGGCCGGCAAUUCAUCAGCCACCCACUGAUAAUCCCAAUCACGAUCCUAAUUUCGAAUUCUGGAAGUACCAAUGGAGGAAACAUGGCGCGUGUUUCAAUAACGUACCAAGUCUGAACACUCCUAUCAAAUAUUUUAGCAAAGCGUUGGAAUGGGACAAGCGGUUUAAUUUGGCUGAAGCAUUUAUGCGCUGUAGGCCUACCAAUUUACCUACCGCCGUACUUCCCAGCGAUUCAACGACAUAUUCUAAUGAAACUUUGAUAGCAUGUUUAAAAACCCACUUGAACUGGAAGUUUCAUAUUUAUCUCUCUUACAGCCCUGAUACAGAGUUCAGAAAUGGGAAAAAAAUAUUAUCGGAGGUGCGACUAUGUUUUAGUACACAAUUUAGGGCCGCAGAUUGCUAUUCAACCUCGACCUCAACCUCUACUCGUACCUCUACCGUCGAUUUGUACUAUCCUAACACCGUUGAAAAUAAGAUCUCGAGCAGUGUAUUCAAUCGUUUAUUCGGUAGUUAAUGUUCGCGAUCGUGAUUCAUCUUAUAUGCCGAUCGCACUUUUAAAAGCUAUCAUCUUUCGCGAAAAGCGAUUUGUUUUUUUCUAUAGAGAGCAAGGAAUGCCGCCAAUAAUGCUCAUAAUACCUACGUAUCUUAUCUCAAAUUAAUCUUAAUAAUAUUUGUAUUUCACUUUGAAUUACGAGUUA